rnacentral:rRNA from 1 species
AUUGAACGCUGGCGGCAUGCUUUACACAUGCAAGUCGAACGGCAGCGCGGGGCAACCUGGCGGCGAGUGGCGAACGGGUGAGUAAUAUAUCGGAACGUACCCAGAAGUGGGGGAUAACGUAGCGAAAGUUACGCUAAUACCGCAUACGAUCUACGGAUGAAAGUAGGGGACCGCAAGGCCUUAUGCUUUUGGAGCGGCCGAUAUCUGAUUAGCUAGUUGGUGAGGUAAAGGCUCACCAAGGCGACGAUCAGUAGCUGGUCUGAGAGGACGACCAGCCACACUGGAACUGAGACACGGUCCAGACUCCUACGGGAGGCAGCAGUGGGGAAUUUUGGACAAUGGGCGCAAGCCUGAUCCAGCAAUGCCGCGUGAGUCAAGAAGGCCUUCGGGUUGUAAAGCUCUUUUGUCAGGGAAGAAACGGUAGAGGCUAAUAUCCUUUGCUAAUGACGGUACCUGAAGAAUAAGCACCGGCUAACUACGUG